CUGCUCAGUAACACGUGGACAACCUGCCCUUAGGUUGGGUAUAAACCCGGGAAACUGGGUAUAAUACCCGAUAGGUCUCGAUUGCUGGAAUGCAUCGAGAUUUAAAGCUCCGGCGCCUAAGGAUGGGUCUGCGGCCUAUCAGGUAGUAGUGGGUGUAGCGUACCUACUAGCCUACGACGGGUACGGGUUGUGAGAGCAAGAGCCCGGAGAUGGAUUCUGAGACACGAAUCCAGGCCCUACGGGGUGCAGCAGGCGCGAAAACUUUACAAUGCUGGCAACAGCGAUAAGGGAACCUCGAGUGCCAGGUUACAAAUCUGGCUGUCGAGAUGCCUAAAAAGCAUUUCAUAGCAAGGGCCGGGCAAGACCGGUGCCAGCCGCCGCGGUAACACCGGCGGCUCGAGUGGUAACCGUUAUUAUUGGGUCUAAAGGGUCUGUAGCCGGCCGGAUAAGUCUCUUGAGAAAUCUGGCAGCUUAACUGUCAGGCUUUCAGGAGAUACUGUCUGGCUCGAGGCCGGGAGAGGUGAGAGGUACUUCAGGGGUAGGGGUGAAAUCUUGUAAUCCUUGAAGGACCACCAGUGGCGAAGGCGUCUCACCAGAACGGACCUGACGGCAAGGGACGAAAGCUAGGGGCACGAACCGGAUUAGAUACCCGGGUAGUCCUAGCCGUAAACGAUACUCGCUAGGUGUCGGCCACGGUGCGACCGUUGUCGGUGCCGUAGGGAAGCCGUGAAGCGAGCCACCUGGGAAGUACGGCCGUCAGGCUGAAACUUAAAGGAAUUGGCGGGGGAGCAC
rnacentral:rRNA from 1 species